ACACUUACCUGGCAGGGAACACACCAUGAUCAGGCAGGCGGUUUUCCCAAGGCAAGGCUUAUACUCUGCUGAGCCCUGCAAUUUACCCGAAUGCAGGAAAUGCAGCUGCAUAAUCUGUGGUGCUGGGGGACUGCGUUCAUGCUCUGCCCUG
rfam:Calypte anna contig121170, whole genome shotgun sequence.